GGCGCCACUCCAACACUUUCCUGUUACCAUAGAAAAUGCUGACUUGAGGGGGUCUGAAAACCUCAGCCGGGGGCAGUGUUGGAGUUAGAACCCUGACCUCUCGAUGCCAAGGUACUCCCUCUGCUUCCACGAAGGGCGGAAGGCCACCUGGGCCAGCACAUGGCACCUGCCUGAAGUCAUGACACAAAUGCAAACAGAAACCAGACGAGACUUUCCUGCCUGGUCCCUGGAUGGUCUGAGGGCGCCUCCCACACCACUUUACACAGGUGAACUGCUUCCUGU